UGCAAGUCGAACGAAGCGCUUAAAUGGAUUUCUUCGGAUUGAAGUUUUUGUGACUGAGUGGCGGACGGGUGAGUAACGCGUGGGUAACCUGCCUCAUACAGGGGGAUAACAGUUAGAAAUGACUGCUAAUACCGCAUAAGCGCACAGUGCUGCAUGGCACAGUGUGAAAAACUCCGGUGGUAUGAGAUGGACCCGCGUCUGAUUAGCUGGUUGGUGGGGUAACGGCCUACCAAGGCGACGAUCAGUAGCCGGCCUGAGAGGGUGAACGGCCACAUUGGGACUGAGACACGGCCCAAACUCCUACGGGAGGCAGCAGUGGGGAAUAUUGCACAAUGGGGGAAACCCUGAUGCAGCGACGCCGCGUGAGCGAAGAAGUAUUUCGGUAUGUAAAGCUCUAUCAGCAGGGAAGAAAAUGACGGUACCUGA
rnacentral:rRNA from 1 species